rnacentral:rRNA from 1 species
GUAGGGGGCAAGCGUUGUCCGGAAUCAUUGGGCGUAAAGCGCGCGUAGGCGGCCCGGUCAGUCCGCUGUGAAAGUCAAGGGCUCAACCCUUGAAAGCCGGUGGAUACUGCCGGGCUAGAGUCCGGAAGAGGCGAGUGGAAUUCCUGGUGUAGCGGUGGAAUGCGCAGAUAUCAGGAGGAACACCUAUAGCGAAGGCAGCUCGCUGGGACGGUACUGACGCUGAGGCGCGAAAGCGUGGGGAGCGAACAGGAUUAGAUACCCUGGUAGUCCACGCCGUAAACGAUGGGCACUAGGUGUGGGAGGUGUCGACUCCUCCCGUGCCGUCGCUAACGCACUAAGUGCCCCGCCUGGGGAGUACGGCCGCAAGGCUAAA